rnacentral:lncRNA from 1 species
GUGCAAUCAAGUUUGUUCAUAUAAAAAAUUAUAAUAAAUUAACUAUAUGAAUUGUAAGAGAUUGAAGGAUCAAAUCUAUCUGUAAUUCUUUUUGCAUAUCAAGCUCAAGCUUUUCAAGCUCCUUAAUGUCCUUGAUCACUGUUAUACAGUACUCAUGGACAACUACCUUUCGUGCAUCUUCAAAUUAUAGAAUCUUUUGGAUACUUCAAAGCAUGCUGUAUUACUCUGCUCACCGUACAACUCUUGUAAAUG